CCUACGGGAGGCUGCAGUUAGGAAUAUUGGUCAAUGGGCGCGAGCCUGAACCAGCCAAGUAGCGUGAAGGAGGAAUGCCCUACGGGUUGUAAACUUCUUUUAUAAAGGAAUAAAGUGAGGCACGUGUGCCUUUUUGUAUGUACUUUAUGAAUAAGGAUCGGCUAACUCCGUGCCAGCAGCCGCGGUAAUACGGAGGAUCCGAGCGUUAUCCGGAUUUAUUGGGUUUAAAGGGAGCGUAGAUGGGUUGUUAAGUCAGUUGUGAAAGUUUGGGGCUCAACCGGAAAAUUGCAAUUGAUACUGGCAGCCUUGAGUACAGUUGAGGUAGGCGGAAUGCGUGGUGUAGCGGUGAAAUGCUUAGAUAUCACGAAGAACUCCGAUUGCGAAGGCAGCCUACUAAACUGCCACUGACAUUGAUGCUCGAAAGUGUGGGUAUCAAACAGGAUUAGAUACCCUGGUAGUC
rnacentral:rRNA from 1 species